AACGAACGCUGGCGGCAUGCCUAACGCAUGCAAGUCGAACGAGACCUUCGGGUCUAGUGGCGCACGGGUGCGUAACGCGUGGGAACCUGCCCUUAGGUUCGGAAUAACUCCCCGAAAGGGGUGCUAAUACCGGAUAAUGUCUUCGGACCAAAGAUUUAUCGCCUUUGGAUGGGCCCGCGUUGGAUUAGCUAGUUGGUAGGGUAAAAGCCUACCAAGGCGACGAUCCAUAGCUGGUCUGAGAGGAUGAUCAGCCACACUGGGACUGAGACACGGCCCAGACUCCUACGGGAGGCAGCAGUGGUGAAUAUUGGACAAUGGGCGAAAGCCUGAUCCAGCAAUGCCGCGUGAGUGAUGAAGGCCUUAGGGUUGUAAAGCUCUUUUACCCGGGAUGAUAAUGACAGUACCGGGAGAAUAAGCUCCGGCUAACUCCGUG
rnacentral:rRNA from 1 species